GAUGAACGCUGGCGGCGUGCUUAACACAUGCAAGUCGAACGAGAACGGGAUAUAGCUUGCUAUAUUUGUCAGCUAAGUGGCGCACGGGUGAGUAAUGUAUAGGUAAUAUGCCUCUUACUAAGGGAUAACAAUUGGAAACGAUUGCUAAUACCUUAUAUGCCUUUAAGACUAAAGUCUGCAAGGGAAAGAUUUAUUGGUAAGAGAUUAGCCUGUAUUGUAUCAGCUAGUUGGUGAGGUAAUGGCUCACCAAGGCUAUGACGCAUAACUGGUUUGAGAGAAUGAUCAGUCACACUGGAACUGAGACACGGUCCAGACUCCUACGGGAGGCAGCAGUGGGGAAUAUUGCACAAUGGACGAAAGUCUGAUGCAGCAACGCCGCGUGGAGGAUGACACAUUUCGGUGCGUAAACUCCUUUUAUAUAGGAAGAUAAUGACGGUACUAUAUGAAUAAGCACCGGCUAACUCCGUGCCAGCAGCCGCCGUAA
rnacentral:rRNA from 1 species